UUAAUUUCUUUUGGUAGGUUU
rnacentral:piRNA from 1 species